rnacentral:ncRNA from 1 species
CUCUUAUCCCGAGCUGGUGGAGGGUCAGGCCCUAUGAAACCCGGCAACCUGCAUGAACUAUUUCACUUUAUGCGUUGGUGCCAACCUGAUGCAAGGGGAAUUUCCCUUGAACGAUAAGAG